rnacentral:rRNA from 1 species
GAUGAACGCUAGCGGCAGGCUUAACACAUGCAAGUCGAGGGGUAGAAGGAGCUUGCUCCUUUGAGACCGGCGCACGGGUGCGUAACGCGUAUGCAACCUACCUUGAACAGGGGAAUAGCCCAGAGAAAUUUGGAUUAAUGCCCCAUGGUAUUCUCGGAUGGCAUCAUCUGAUUAUUAAAGUAACAACGGUUCAAGAUGGGCAUGCGUCCCAUUAGUUAGUUGGUAAGGUAACGGCUUACCAAGACGAUGUCUAGGGGAUCUGAGAGGAUGACCCCCCACACUGGUACUGAGACACGGACCAGACUCCUACGGGAGGCAGCAGUAAGGAAUAUUGGUCAAUGGAGGCAACUCUGAAUCAGCCAUGCCGCGUGCAGGAAGACGGCCCUAUGGGUUGUAAACUGCUUUUAUACGGGAAUAAACCUCUCUACGUGUAGAGAGUUGAAUGUACUGUAAGAAUAGGGAUCGGCUAACUCCGUGCCAGCCGCCGCGGUAACAC